CUGUGGGUUUUUUAAGAGUUUAUAUUAUAGCUGUAUGGGAUGUUUUCAAUAGGGAUGAUCCUGCCUCAGGCAGGGGGUUGGAUUAGGUGACCUCUGGAGUUCCUUCCAGUCCUGUUUCUCUAGGACUCUGGCUCCUCUCAUGGCUAAAUAAAGAGAACCUGAAGGCUGCUGAUUAAUCAGCUCCAUUACUGAGUGUGGUUGGUGAGCUACACUGCCUCCUGUAUCCUUCAGUUUAAGGGAGACAUUUCUCUUCCCAAUGAAGUUCCCAAGUGUUUAGGAGACCUUUAUUCCAGUUCUGGUUACUGAAUGUAUGUCACUUACUUUUAAACUAUCAGCAGUAAAAGUAGAUAUAUUUUAGGGUGGGGUAAAGGGAGUAUGG